GGGUUGCCAUUUCCUCCUCCAGGGGAUCUUCCCAACCCAGGGAUUGAAACUGCAUCUCCUGCACUGGCAGGCAGGUUCUUUACCACUGAGCCACCAGGGAAGCCUGAGCCUACUUGGAGACAGCUUGUUAAAUCAGUAAAUUGGUGUCAAGUGAAACCAUGAAUAAGGGAUAAGAGUUUUCAGAGUCAAUGUGGGUUCUAAAUGAAGGGCAUGUGGAAUUAACGGCAGGGCUGACAGCACUUAGGGAUGUCCUGUGUAGGCCAAGAGCCUCCCUGUUUGCUUCGUGGGGACUGGAUCCACCAGGCAGAGCCCAUUAGCGCCGACUGAGCACACAGCGGUGCUGAGGGACCACGCUCACUCUGUCUCUCUGGAUCCCUCUCACAGAGUCUGUGAUUCUCCCAGUCACUGUCUGUGGGCUGCUCCCUCUCAGCCGGCUUCCAAGUAUAUCUUCCUCUUCCUCCCAGUCUCUGGGUCUCUGACUCUCGGUCUCCUUUUCUCUAGCAUCCAAAGCCCAGGAGAACGGAUCCUCUCUUUCAGUCUCGGAGGGCCAGUCCCUGCGCCUGGUCUGCGUCGUUGACAGCAACCCCCCCGCCAGGAUCAGCUGGGCCCGGGGGAGCCUGACCCUCAGCGCCUCGCCGCCCAGCCACCCAGAGAUGCUGGAGCUGCCGCGGGUGCUCACAGGAGACGAAGGGGAGUUCACCUGCCGAGCUCAGCACGCCCUCGGCUCCCAGCACGUCUCCCUGAGGCUCUCGCUGCAGAGUGGGUGUCCGGGGGCUGCCCGCGGAGGCCCACCCCCGCCCACAGGGCGGUCAGCGCGCCCGGCAGAGGCGGUCCUGGUAGCCAUCUGGGAAGUGGCUGUCAAGACCCUGCUCCUCCUCCUCUUUCUCCUGGGCCUCCUAGUGAGGUGCUGCACAAGGACUUCAGCCAGGCCAGCAGGGGGCGUGUCAGAGGCAAAGGAAACCCCACCUUUAACCCCUCAGCUCAUCUUGAAGCCCAUCUCCUCCCGGUCCUGACCCUGGUCCUUCCAGCAGCCUCAUCUCUUCCCUGAGUCGCUGAACCCAUGCAUCUCCUGCUUCCUCUCGCUGGGAAGCACGGCCCUCGGGUCAGAGGACUCACCAGAGACGGUUCCGUCCACUGCCCGCACAGUCGGAGCAGCUCUGUUUCCUCCCCACGCAGGGGAUGGAGCGGCCCACACCACAGGCUGGAUUCUAAGUCCUGGCGGGCUCUGCCCUGCUGACUCUCCACCCAGAGUUUCUGUCUGGGAUGAUGAAAGCAUUCUGGAAAUGGACAGUGGUGAUGGUUUCACUAACAUGGUGAUGUACUUACUGCCACUCAGGUGUAACACAUGGUUAUUUAGUUGCUGAGUCAUGUCCAUUUUCUUCAACGCCAUGGAUUGUAGCCCGCCAGGCUCCUCAGCCCAUGGGUUUUCCCCAGCCAAGAAUGCUGCAGUGGGUUGCCAUGUCCUUCUCCAGGGGAUCGUCCCCACCCAGAAACUGAACCUGAGUUUCCUGCUUGGCAGGCAGAUUCUUUACCAUUGAGCUACCUGGGAAGCCCUAAAGUGUACUGUAUACAAUGUUAAAAAUAAUUUUUAUUUUAUGAGUAUUUUACUGAAAUAAAGCAAAAGGAAUGAGGAAC
ensembl:lncRNA